GAGAUGCUGAGAGAGACACAUCCAGCCUUGGUGCCCAGAGAUUGCAGAAAGCGGAAGAACUUCUAUUUCCCCUUGUUUGGUCUUCUGUCUUAUUUUUAAUCUAAUCCCAUGUUGGCAGAGGAGGUUGGAACAGAAUGAAACAGGAGACAGAAGGAAGCCAGUCAGUGUGGAGACAGCAAGAGACACACCCAGAGGAUGGGGAGGACACAGAGAACAGACACCAUGAGAUCAAGACCAUGUCACCGAGAGAGAGAGAGGUGGCCAGAAGAGACGCCGGGAUGCUGCUUUCCCCUCCUGAUUCCAGUCGCUGUGUAAUCUUGUAAUAAUCACCUGUCUGUUAAAAGGUC